GUGAACCAGUGCUGUUUUCUGGCGGGCCUUUUUAGCGCGGCUCCUCGUCGGCACCCGUCUGUUGCCCGGAACCUCUGGGCUGAGCAUCAUGACGUCCGCCUUGGAGAAUUACAUUAACCGAACUGUUGCUGUUAUUACUUCUGAUGGCAGAAUGAUUGUGGGUACACUUAAAGGUUUUGAUCAGACCAUUAAUUUGAUUUUGGAUGAAAGCCAUGAACGAGUAUUCAGCUCUUCACAAGGAGUUGAACAAGUGGUACUAGGAUUAUACAUCGUAAGAGGUGACAAUGUUGCAGUCAUUGGAGAAAUUGAUGAAGAGACAGAUUCUGCACUUGACUUGGGGAAUAUUCGAGCAGAGCCUCUAAACUCUGUGGCACACUGAGGAAAAAUGGCAUGCACUAGACAUCUGUAAAUCUUGUACAGAAACUGUUCUGAGGAUGCUGUUCGGAAUUUUUAUCAACAUGUUAAUUGUGGAUUUUGCCUUCAUGUUGACUCAUUGUAAUAUUUUAGUCUGUCCCAUGGCUACAAGAAACCUGAGUAUAUAAGUUUGAAGAAUUCAGGUUAUGUGAAAG